AGAGUUUGAUCCUGGCUCAGGAUGAACGCUGGCGGCGUGCUUAACACAUGCAAGUCGAACGGAAAGGCCAGUGCUUGCGCUGGUACUCGAGUGGCGAACGGGUGAGUAACACGUGGGUGAUCUGCCCUGCACUUCGGGAUAAGCUUGGGAAACUGGGUCUAAUACCGGAUAGGACCAUUGGUUGGUGCCUUUGGUGGAAAAGUUUUUUCGGUGUGGGAUGAGCUCGCGGCCUAUCAGCUUGUUGGUGGGGUAAUGGCCUACCAAGGCGUCGACGGGUAGCCGGCCUGAGAGGGUGUACGGCCACAUUGGGACUGAGAUACGGCCCAGACUCCUACGGGAGGCAGCAGUGGGGAAUAUUGCACAAUGGGCGCAAGCCUGAUGCAGCGACGCCGCGUGGGGGAUGACGGCCUUCGGGUUGCAAACUCCUUUCGCCAAAGACGAAUGUGGACGGUAUUUGGAGAAGAAGCACCGGCUAACUACGUG
rnacentral:rRNA from 1 species